CCUGCAAGCGCCACACCCAGCCUGCCGCAGCACCGCGCCCCCUCAACGAUCCCGGACCCCCCGAAUGACCGAGCACCCGAGCUGCCGUAAGGAGCACGAAGGUCAGCCGCUCCGGAAUUCAUCUCUUCAUAGAGCGGACUCCCCCAAGAGCUCAGUACAGUCCUUUUGACCACAGAUGAAUCCUGAGUGCUCUGCUCGGUCCCCAGCAAACGCCACAAAUCCCAUCAACAGCUCACGCCCUCUCUGUCAUCGCCCAGAGGAGAUGGAAGGUGAAGAAAACAACCAAAAUAAGGACAGGUAUACGAAAGAGGAAGAAUUGGGUGAGUCAGAAGGACCUAGGAAAAAUAGAAAAAAAGGAGAGAAGAGGAAAGAAAAAUAGAACUCAAGAUGAAAAACAGGAAAGUAGGAAAGCUGGCAGAAGCAGAGAUCAAGUCAGAUUUGCCAGAUAAAAUAGGAUAAGCUGAAUAUGAUUUUUUUUUAAACUGCCAUCAGGAAGGAAAUAAAAUGUGAGAUAGGAGAA